GCAGUCGCCGCGGUAAUACGGAGGGGGCUAGCGUUGUUCGGAAUUACUGGGCGUAAAGCGCACAUAGGCGGCUUUGUAAGUUAGAGGUGAAAGCCCGGGGCUCAACCCCGGAAUAGCCUUUAAGACUGCAUCGCUUGAACGUCGGAGAGGUGAGUGGAAUUCCGAGUGUAGAGGUGAAAUUCGUAGAUAUUCGGAAGAACACCAGUGGCGAAGGCGGCUCACUGGACGACUGUUGACGCUGAGGUGCGAAAGCGUGGGGAGCAAACAGGAUUAGAUACCCCAGUAGUCCCUGUCUCUUAUAC
rnacentral:rRNA from 1 species